CCCUUAGAUGUUCUGGGCCGCACGCGCGCUACACUGACGAGUUCAACGAGUCCAUCCUUGGCCGAGAGGUCCGGGUAAUCUGCGAAAUCUCGUCGUGAUGGGGCUAGAUGAUUGCAAUUAUUCAUCUUCAACGAGGAAUUCCUAGUAAGCGCAGAUCAUCAGUCUGCGUUGAUUACGUCCCUGCCCUUUGUACACACCGCCCGUCGCUCCUACCGAUUGAAUGGUCCGGUGAAGCGUUCGGAUGAGAGGGAUGUUGCGGGCAACUGCGGCGCCUCACUCAGAAGUUCGUUAAACCUUAUCAUUUAGAGGAAGGAGAAGUCGUAACA
rnacentral:rRNA from 1 species